GCCUUCGUGGUGUAGCGGUUAGCACGCUUGACGCGUAACCGAGAGGUACGUGGUUCGAUUCCGGGCGAAGGCG
rnacentral:tRNA from 1 species